rnacentral:rRNA from 1 species
CCCUUAGAUGUUCUGGCCACACGCGCGUUACACUGAUGAAGCCAGCGAGUAUAUCGCCUUCACCGGAAGGUGCGGGUAAUCUUGUGAAACUUCAUCGUGCUGGGGAUAGACCAUUGCAAUUAUUGGUCUUGAACGAGGAAUUCCUAGUAAGCAUGAGUCAUCAACUCGUGCUGAUUACGUCCCUGCCCUUUGUACACACCGCCCGUCGCUACUACCGAUUGAAUGGUUUAGUGAGAUCUCGGGAUUGGAGACGUUGCGCCGCAAGGCACAUCGUCCUCGAGAACUUGAUCAAACUUGAUCAUUUAGAGGAAGUAAAAGUCGUAACA